GCAAGUUGAACGGUUGAUUCAGGGUAGCAAUAUUCUCGGGUUAGCAGUGGCGUAAGGGUGCUUAACACGUGGGUAAUCUGCCGCGAAGUGUGGGAUAACUCGCUGAAAGGCGAGCUAAUACCGCAUGUGAUCUUCUUGAGGCAUCUCAAGGAAUUCAAACAUGGGUCGCAAGACCUGUGGUUUCGCGAUGAGCCCGCGGCCUAUCAGCUAGUUGGCGGGGUAAAAGCCCACCAAGGCUAAGACGGGUAGCUGGUCUGAGAGGACGACCAGCCACACUGGAACUGAGACACGGUCCAGACACCUACGGGUGGCAGCAGUCGAGAAUUUUUCACAAUGGGGGAAACCCUGAUGGAGCGACGCCGCGUGGGGGAUGAAGGGCUUCGGUUCGUAAACCCCUGUCAUUGGCGAACAAGUGUUGCGCUCUAAUACAGUGUAACUUGAUAGUAGCCGAAGAGGAAGGGACGGCUAACUCUGUGCCAGCAGCCGCGGUAAUACAGAGGUCCCGAGCGUUGUUCGGAUUCACUGGGCGUAAAGGGUGCGUAGGUGGUUGGUUAAGUUUGAGGUGAAAGCUCCGAGCUCAACUCGGAAAAUGCCUUGAAGACUAUCUGACUAGAGGAUUGGAGGGGAGAUUGGAAUUCUCGGUGUAGCAGUGAAAUGCGUAGAUAUCGAGAGGAACACCAGUGGCGAAGGCGAAUCCCUGGACAAUUCCUGACACUGAGGCACGAAAGCCAAGGGAGCAAACGGGAUUAGAUACCCCGGUAGUCUUGGCUGUAAACGGUGCGCACUUGCUGUGAGCGGAUUCGACCCCGCUCGUGGCGUAGUUAACACGAUAAGUGCGCCGCCUGGGAAGUACGGUCGCAAGAUUAAAACUCAAAGAAAUUGACGGGGGCCUGCACAAGCGGUGGAGUAUGUGGCUUAAUUCGAUGCAA
rnacentral:rRNA from 1 species